rnacentral:rRNA from 1 species
UACAUGGGGUGCAAACGUUGCUCGGAAUUAUUGGGCGUAAAGCGCACGUAGGCGGUUUGUUAAGUCGGAUGUGAAAUCCCUCGGCUCAACUGAGGAAGUGCAUCCGAAACUGGCAGGCUUGAGUACUAAAGAGGGUCGCGGAAUUCCCGGUGUAGUGGUGAAAUGCGUAGAGAUCGGGAGGAACACCCGUGGCGAAGGCGGCCAACUGGGAUACACCUGACGCUGAGGCACGAAGGCGUGGGGAGCGAACGGG